rnacentral:lncRNA from 1 species
AUCUUGCUGCUUACAAAUACUUCAUCAACAAACCUAUCUCUCACUUAUUUCUCUCUUCCUGUCUCUCUUCCGUCCUCUGACCUUUGACCUCCCUCCUCCUUCUUCUCAACUAAUUUAUUGCCUUUCUCCUCCUCCCCCCCCUCCCUCCUUCCCCAGUUCUCAACGCCGAGGGCCUCUAAGUGGGUUCCUCUCCUGCUCUCCCCAGCCCCCUGCCUUGGUGGGUCACCAGCAGCCACAGGGCAGUAGACUGAUCCCUGGAAGCAUGGCUAAGACUGAGUCCAGGUGUGACUGGGGCUUUGUGACACUCUUUUUUUUUUUUCUGUUUGUCCUGGACACUGGACACUGGCUGGAGGAACGAGGCCUGGAAGCAAAGGAUCAGCUCGGAGAGGGAAGGGAGCUGCCUCCAGACACGGCGGGCGCCCCACCUUCUUCAGGCAUCAACAAUGGAAGAGCUCGGCUGACUUCAGUUUUCCAGAUGAAAACAUCUGUACAACACUUGCAGGACACCGAGGACCUGCAGCUGCUAGGACAGGGGCUUCUUAGGACUCACCUGCCUGGAGACCAACACUGCCCAGCAUCUGCCGCCUGUGUGUCUGGAAAGGAGCUAAUGGGACUCUGUCACCACCUGCUGGUACAGAGUGGAACUGCAACCCUGCUGUACUAGGCACUGCAAACUGUUCCCAAUAAAGAACAGUUGGGGGGAGGGGGAGCUAUGGACAAUUCUGUAGAAAUAAACAUGUUUACUCC